CAUCACUACGAGAUGGACCUGCGUGUUAUUAGCUAGUAGGUAGGGUAACGGCCUACCUAGGCGACGAUACAUAGCCGACCUGAGAGGGUGGUCCCCCACAUUGGAACUGAGACACGGCCCAAACUCCUACGGGAGGCAGCAGUGAGGAAUAUUGGUCAAUGGGCGGAAGCCUGAACCAGCCAAGUAGCGUGCAGGAUGACGGCCCUAUGGGUUGUAAACUGCUUUUACAGGGGAAUAAAGUGAGUGACGUGUCAUUCAUUGCAUGUACCCUGCGAAUAAGGACCGGCUAAUUCCGUGCCAGCAGCCGCGGUAAUACGGAAGGUCCGGGCGUUAUCCGGAUUUAUUGGGUUUAAAGGGAGCGUAGGCCGCCCGUCAAGCGUGUUGUGAAAUGUAGAGGCUCAACCUCUGAAUUGCAGCGCGAACUGUCAGGCUUGAGUACGCGCAACGUAGGCGGAAUUCGUGGUGUAGCGGUGAAAUGCUUAGAUAUCACGAAGAACUCCGAUUGCGAAGGCAGCUUACGGGAGCGUUACUGACGCUGAAGCUCGAAAGUGCGGGUAUCGAACAGGAUUAGAUACCCUGGUAGUCCGCACGGUAAACGAUGGAUGCCCGCUGUUGCCCCACCUGGAGCAGCGGCCAAGCGAAAGCAUAAGCCAUCCC
rnacentral:rRNA from 1 species